rfam:Erinaceus europaeus unplaced genomic scaffold scaffold00910, whole genome shotgun sequence
AGGGGUGUGGUUCAGUGGUGGAAUGCAUGCUUUGCAUGUGUGAGGACGUGGGUUCAACUCCUGACACCCCCC